ACUCUGGAACAUGAGGAGGAGCCGCCGAGAGACGUCAGGCUCUGCGGGGUCCUGACGGCGGUAAGCUGCUCCAAUGAGCUCUCUCCACAUGCGGCCACUCGAGGUCUCGCCGUGAGAAAGGCCCCUGCCACUCAACUGGUUAUAAACGUGCUGCUGCCGGUGGCCGCUCGCACACAUUCAUUUGGGUCGAGCGACGAGCUGCUAUUGUACCGCCUUGAGAGUAGCAGCAUUGUGUCGCAGUCCUGCGGUUCUUCACUCCAUAUCACCUUUUAAACAGGCAAAACCCACAACAAAGAGAGAGAGAGAGGACAAAAAGUGCGAAGAUUUCUCUUUAAAUUAUACCUACAGGGAGAAAAAUAACCAAGAAGUUGAGUUUUAUAAAAAAUACAUAAUUUUUAAAAAAUCCUAUAGGAGUGGUUGACUCCGGGCUUUUCUCCAUCCCCGCAUCUCCCUUUUCUUCCUUGUGUGUCAGUUUGUUUCUGCUGAGGAAGAAAUCCUCUCUGCUCCGUGGACAAGAAACCGCAACACUGAAGGAAGGAAACCUGGAGUGAAACCAUGGAGAGCGCGCACACAAAGACUGUGGAUGAAGUUCUAGCCUAUUUUAACGUCAAUGAGACAACGGGUCUUAGUUUGGAUCAAGUCAAGAAACACAAGGAAAGAUGGGGACCGAACGAGCUACCUGCGGAAGAAGGCAAAUCUUUGUGGGAACUUGUGGUAGAACAAUUUGAAGACUUAUUGGUUAGAAUUCUACUCUUGGCAGCUUGUAUAUCUUUUGUUCUGGCCUGGUUUGAAGAAGGUGAAGAAACUGUAACUGCAUUUGUGGAGCCUUUCGUAAUACUAUUGAUUCUAAUAGCAAAUGCUAUUGUGGGAGUUUGGCAGGAAAAGAAUGCGGAAAAUGCCAUUGAAGCCCUUAAAGAAUAUGAACCUGAAAUGGGGAAAGUUUAUCGACAAGACAGGAAAAGUGUACAGAGGAUCAAGGCCAGAGAGAUUGUCCCUGGAGAUAUAGUAGAAGUGGCAGUUGGUGACAAGGUUCCUGCUGACAUCAGACUGACUUCAAUUAAGUCAACAACCCUAAGAAUAGAUCAAUCUAUUCUUACAGGUGAAUCUGUGUCGAUCAUCAAGCACACUGAUCCAGUACCUGACCCUCGUGCUGUGAAUCAAGACAAAAAGAAUAUGCUAUUUUCUGGUACAAAUGUUGCAGCUGGAAGGGCAGUUGGAGUUGUUGUUGCCACUGGUACAAACACAGAAAUUGGAAAAAUUCGUGAUGAAAUGGCAGCAACUGAACAAGAGAGGACUCCACUUCAACAGAAGCUUGAUGAGUUUGGUGAACAGCUCUCCAAAGUUAUUUCACUCAUCUGUAUUGCUGUCUGGAUCAUAAACAUUGGCCACUUCAAUGACCCUGUACAUGGUGGCUCCUGGAUCCGUGGUGCCAUUUAUUAUUUUAAGAUUGCAGUUGCUCUAGCUGUUGCUGCUAUUCCAGAGGGUUUGCCAGCUGUUAUUACUACCUGCCUGGCCCUCGGCACGAGGCGAAUGGCAAAGAAGAAUGCUAUAGUGCGGAGUUUGCCCUCUGUUGAAACGUUGGGUUGCACUUCUGUUAUCUGUUCUGAUAAAACUGGUACUCUCACUACAAAUCAGAUGUCUGUCUGCCGGAUGUUCAUUGUUGACAAAGUUGAAGGUGAACAGUGUUUUCUGAAUGAGUUUUCAGUAAGUGGCUCCACCUAUAGUCCUGAGGGACAAGUAGAAUUGGAUAACAAAGUAGUGAAAUGUUCUGACUAUGAUGGCCUUGUUGAACUGGCAACUAUCUGUGCACUUUGCAAUGAUUCUUCUUUGGAUUAUAAUGAGACCAAAGGAGCGUUUGAGAAGGUUGGAGAAGCAACAGAGACUGCCCUUUGUUGCUUGGCUGAAAAAAUGAAUGUGUUUGAUACAGAUGUGAAAAAUCUAUCUAAGAUUGAGCGUGCCAAUGCCUGCUGCACUGUCAUCAAACAACUAAUGAAGAAAGAGUUCACUCUGGAGUUCUCCAGAGACAGGAAAUCGAUGUCUGUGUACUGUUCCCCUAACAAACCCACUCGUUCAUCUAUUGGCAACAAGAUGUUUGUUAAGGGUGCCCCUGAGGGAGUGAUUGAUAGAUGCUCAUAUGUUCGCAUUGGAGCCAGUAAAGUGCCCCUCUCGGUGUCGGUCAAAGAGAAGAUUUUGUCUGUUGUCAAAGAAUGGGGUACUGGGAGGGACACACUUCGUUGCUUGGCACUGGCUACUCUUGAUAAUCCAGUCAGAAAAGAAGACAUGAACUUGGAAGAGUCAUCAAAUUUCAUUAAUUAUGAAGUUGGCCUGACAUUUGUUGGCUGCGUUGGUAUGCUUGAUCCACCACGAUCAGAGGUAGCUGCUUCAAUCAAGAUGUGCAAACAUGCUGGUAUUCGUGUAAUCAUGAUCACUGGUGAUAACAAGGGCACCGCUGUAGCCAUUUGCCGUCGUAUUGGUAUCUUUUCAGAACGGGAAGAUGUCACUAAAAAAGCUUUUACUGGCCGUGAGUUUGAUGAACUUCCCCCAGCAGAACAACGUGACGCUUGUUUGACUGCCCGCUGCUUUGCUCGUGUUGAACCAUCUCACAAGUCUAAGAUUGUGGAAUUCUUGCAAGCUUUUGAUGAAAUCACAGCUAUGACUGGUGAUGGUGUGAAUGAUGCUCCUGCUCUGAAGAAGGCAGAGAUUGGAAUUGCCAUGGGAUCUGGUACAGCUGUCGCAAAAUCUGCCUCUGAAAUGGUACUAGCUGAUGACAACUUCUCCACAAUUGUAGCAGCAGUGGAGGAAGGCCGUGCUAUCUACAACAAUAUGAAACAAUUUAUUCGCUACCUCAUCUCUUCAAAUGUUGGCGAAGUAGUCUGCAUUUUCCUGACAGCAGCUUUAGGCUUCCCUGAGGCUUUGAUACCUGUGCAGCUCCUGUGGGUGAAUUUGGUGACAGAUGGAUUGCCUGCCACAGCACUAGGUUUUAAUCCGCCUGAUCUGGACAUAAUGGACAAACCACCUCGCAGUCCUAAGGAACCCUUGAUCAGUGGCUGGCUCUUCUUCCGCUAUAUGGCUAUUGGAUGUUAUGUAGGAGCUGCUACGGUUGGUGCUGCUGCUUGGUGGUUCAUAGCUGCUGAAGAUGGACCCAGAGUAACUUAUUACCAGCUGAGCCAUUUCUUACAAUGUAAUCCAGAAAACCCAGAUUUUGAAGAUGUUGACUGCGAAGUAUUUGAAUCGCCUUAUCCAAUGACUAUGGCACUCUCUGUCCUGGUGACCAUCGAGAUGUGUAAUGCUCUUAACAGUUUAUCAGAGAACCAGUCAUUGUUGAAAAUGCCACCUUGGGAAAAUGUCUGGUUAUUGGGUUCAAUUUGCCUGUCAAUGUCUCUUCACUUCCUCAUCUUAUACGUGGAACCACUACCGCUCAUCUUCCAAAUUACACCUUUGGAUGUAACACAGUGGCUGAUGGUGCUGAAAAUCUCUCUACCGGUCAUUCUGCUGGAUGAGACACUCAAAUUUAUUGCUCGUAACUACCUUGAAGCGGGUAAAGAGUAUACUCUGCCUAGUGACAAACUGUGUGGUUUCUCAGCAUGUACAGAGGGGAUUUCCUGGCCUUUUGUGCUCAUUUCUGUACCCCUGGUUUUCUGGCUUUACAGUACAGACACUAAUUUUGCUGAAAUGUUCUGGUCUUGACUGAAAUAGAGCUGUCGUUGGCAUAGUGAAGACAUGGCAUUUGAUUAACUUCAACCAAAAUUUUUAUCAUUUAAACACAUGAUUCCAAGAGUCUGUUUCUGCUGAAUUUCAUAUGAACCCAUAUAUGGAUGAAGUUAAUAUUUUUUUUUCCUGAACUCCAGAAAGAAACAGGAUUGAUUUUUACACAAUUAAAAAAACUUUUAAAAAAAAAAGCUGUGCAUUGGUGUGUACAGAGAUUAAUACUAUUUUCUGCAAAAUUUUGUUUUUGUAGAUGAAAAGGCAUGUAUAGAUAUGUUCUGCUUACUAAUUUGUUCAUCUUUUUGUGUAUAAAUUGAGAACUAAUGAGUUGACGGAUGUAUUUUUUUUGGGCUAAAAAUGGAAUACUAGAGAAUGUUAAAUUCUUUGGAAAUUUGAGGAAAAAAAUGCACGGUGUGUCACUGCAUGGCGACUUUCAUUGGGGUCUAUUUUAGACUUUAUUUUGUUCCUUCUGUAAAUGGUUUUUAGUUCAGGACUCCAUUAUUUUCUGCACUCAGCAGAGUAUUGCUACCUCAACUACCUUUUUACUUUUACUUCUUGUAUUCAUUCUGUGUUCUUAACUCUGUCAUGUUUACAGUCCAACCUUGUUUGAGGUAUGCUAAUUACUGCCUGUGCAGAACACUCCACUUUCCUCAGUCCACACCCAGUAUCGCUGUUUGUCCCCAAUGAAUUAAAUGGUAUUUAUUUAAAAUGCUGAUUUGUAUUUUGUUGUAACAGUCUUGAUGGGAUUCUUUUACUUAUUUUGCCAGUUCCAUCUUGGAUGUUCUACAUCAGGGUUAAUUCACAUGAGUCAAUAAAAUGUUUUAGACGAACAGAGAGGAAAUUCUCAAUGUCUCUCUUUUUACCAGGAUGGCUCAUGUAGAUUCUUCAAAUGCAAUACAAAAAAAGCCCUGCAGUUUAAAUUGUUUUUAGAUCUUAUUUGUUAGAUUCUUUUAGUUGUCACACAAACUCAGCCAAGGUUUGAAGAACUAUUUAUUACUCACAUGUAUUUGAAAACACUUAAGUAGCUGAAAGCCAAUUGUUACUUUUAGAUGCUAAUGCUGAGCACAAACAUGCAACAAAGAUAUUUUAAAACUAGAAAAUUUAAGGUGCAAGCUGUAAGUAGCACAUUACCAAAUACUCAUUUGACAUAAUGUAUAGAACUAAAAGUAAAUUUUAACAAAUUAUCAUACUAACUGUUUACAAUUAUAAUAAUCUAAAUGUUGGGUAAUAGUGUUCUAAAGCAUGUUUUCUAAAGUGACAUUUUAAGUGAGGUGAUUUUUACAUGUGUUAACAAACCUAACAAUGGUGUUUUCUUCAAUGCCUUCCAAAAUUCAUCAUCUAAAUUAUGGAUGAUGAAGAGGAGAACAAGUAAUUCCCUUAACAAUUUUCAGAAAACUAAGGUUCUUUUGUUAUUGCGUGCAUGUGUGUUUUUAAGCACAACUACCAAGACCAUUGCAUGUAUAAUGUGCAACAAUAGUAUGCUAUUUGGAAGAAGUGUGUUUAAAAUUAGGACUUCAGAGAAACUGUACAUUUGUGCAAUAUAUCCUCGUGAACUUUACAGUACUCCGGAGAGGUCAGGUUCUUUGCUGAAGAGAUAAGUGUCACCAUCUGUUGCGGACCUACAUCUCUAAGAUUUCAUUUGAAUUUAUAAAUUGUACAUUAUGAAAAUGCAUGCCUUCUGUUUAAGUAACAGAAUCUGUGUAUUGGGUCAACAAGACAAAGAACUACUUUAUAAAAAUGGCUGUGUACAAAAUGCAAUUAUAUUUAUGAAAAACUUAGAUGAAAGGUACAAAUCCUGAAUGUAAAUUACAUGUAGGUUGACAAUUUCAUUAAUUCAAUGUAUUUUUUUCUAAGGAAAGUUUUUUUUUCUCUCUUUGGUGUGAGAUAAAAUGAGAGAAUUUCCUCUUGCACUGUAACUUAACUAUUUUAAGUUGUAGUGCAUUAACACAAGCAUUGGCACAAUAAGAAAAUUGCGAUGCAAAUUUGAAAAGAACCUGUCAGUUCUCAGAAAGCAGCAUGCUUAAUGUUGAAAACCUGUAAAUAAGAUCUUAUGUUUAUUUCAGUGAUGACAUUGUAACAUGCAGAUUUCAUAAAUUCAGGCAAAUAAAGUUACUCCACAUUACAUCCUCUA